AAAAUAGCUGGCCCGCCCGCCUUCUAAGCGGCAGGUCGUAGGUUCGAGCCCUACCGGGGUCGCCA
rnacentral:tRNA from 1 species